GACGCAGGCGGCCCGGCAAGUCGGGUGUGAAAGCCCGGGGCUCAACCCCGGAAUUGCACUCGAAACUGCCGGCCUUGAGUACGGGAGAGGGAAGCGGAAUUCCUGGUGUAGAGGUGAAAUUCGUAGAUAUCAGGAGGAACACCCGUGGCGAAAGCGGCUUCCUGGCCCGAUACUGACGCUCAUGUCCGAAAGCGUGGGGAGCAAACA
rnacentral:rRNA from 1 species